rnacentral:rRNA from 1 species
UAAUACGUAGGGUGCGAGCGUUAAUCGGAAUUACUGGGCGUAAAGCGUGCGCAGGCGGCUACAUAAGACAGCUGUGAAAGCCCCGGGCUUAACCUGGGAACUGCGGUUGUGACUGUGUGGCUAGAGUGUGGCAGAGGGGGGUGGAAUUCCACGUGUAGCAGUGAAAUGCGUAGAGAUGUGGAGGAACACCGAUGGCGAAGGCAGCCCCCUGGGUCGCCACUGACGCUCAUGCACGAAAGCGUGGGGAGCAAACAGGAUUAGAUACCCUGGUAGUCCACGCCCUAAACGAUGCCGACUAGGUGUUGGGGAAGGAGACUUCCUUAGUACCGUAGCUAACGCGUGAAGUCGGCCGCCUGGGGAGUACGGUCGCAAGAUUAAA